UUGGCCGUUAUGCAAUGGGAGUGUAAAACUUUAAUCUAAGUGACACUUGAAUCAAAUGGUUAUUUUUAUAUUAUGGUUCCCCAUCUCUGGCAAAUUUGAGUUGCUAAUGAAUUCUUAGUGUACGUCCUCAGCGCAUGGUCUGGAUCUAAUUGCCGUUAGUAACGCCUCAGAAUAAGAACACCCUGUCUCCCUUUCUCGGUGUCGUGCUGACCGUGUUGGCGUCACUGAAGCUGUAGGCACAUAUUCCGAAAAACUACUGUGAACUACUGAAGAAUCCGAGGGGCUAUAUCUUGGAACAUUUGACUACAGACUGAUGCUCUGUCCCCUGUACACUGCUUCCACGCCCAUAUAUGGCUUUUACACUGAGGGAAACUCAUGAAGUUCAAGCUACUGCAUUUGGUUAGCAGAGGCAAGUGCUUGCUGGAAAUUUGGUCAGGGGUCAGGUACGUGCAGAAAAGCCGGUGACUAUUUAUUCUUAAGGCCAUGCAAUCCUACUGGAGCUAGCAUAUACUGGAGGAAUGUAUCUGUUACUGAGGAGAAUCGGAGCAUGGUAGAGAUUCUGUUAAAGUUGGCAACCAACAUGGCCUAGGCUGAACCCUGAAGUGCUAUAUGGCUGCAUCAAGUUUGAGGCAAGACCAAAGAUAUUGUAAUUCAAAGCUAUAAUCUAAAGUGUCUCUACUAAUGCAUUCUGUUUAGGUAUUUAAACAUCUGUUAUAUGCCGUUUGGAUUUAUUUGCCUGAAAUCUUUCUUUCUCAUGAAAUGAUGAGCAGCAACAUGAUA